rnacentral:rRNA from 1 species
UUAAGCGACUAAGCGUACACGGUGGAUGCCCUGGCAGUCAGAGGCGAUGAAGGACGUGCUAAUCUGCGAUAAGCGUCGGUAAGGUGAUAUGAACCGUUAUAACCGGCGAUUUCCGAAUGGGGAAACCCAGUGUGUUUCGACACACUAUCAUUAACUGAAUCCAUAGGUUAAUGAGGCGAACCGGGGGAACUGAAACAUCUAAGUACCCCGAGGAAAAGAAAUCAACCGAGAUUCCCCCAGUAGCGGCGAGCGAACGGGGAGGAGCCCAGAGCCUGAAUCAGUGUGUGUGUUAGUGGAAGCGUCUGGAAAGGCGCGCGAUACAGGGUGACAGCCCCGUACACAAAAAUGCACAUGCUGUGAGCUCGAUGAGUAGGGCGGGACACGUGGUAUCCUGUCUGAAUAUGGGGGGACCAUCCUCCAAGGCUAAAUACUCCUGACUGACCGAUAGUGAACCAGUACCGUGAGGGAAAGGCGAAAAGAACCCCGGCGAGGGGAGUGAAAAAGAACCUGAAACCGUGUACGUACAAGCAGUGGGAGCACGCUUAGGCGUGUGACUGCGUACCUUUUGUAUAAUGGGUCAGCGACUUAUAUUCUGUAGCAAGGUUAACCGAAUAGGGGAGCCGAAGGGAAACCGAGUCUUAACUGGGCGUUAAGUUGCAGGGUAUAGACCCGAAACCCGGUGAUCUAGCCAUGGGCAGGUUGAAAGUUGGGUAACACUAACUGGAGGACCGAACCGACUAAUGUUGAAAAAUUAGCGGAUGACUUGUGGCUGGGGGUGAAAGGCCAAUCAAACCGGGAGAUAGCUGGUUCUCCCCGAAAGCUAUUUAGGUAGCGCCUCGUGAAUUCAUCUCCGGGGGUAGAGCACUGUUUCGGCAAGGGGGUCAUCCCGACUUACCAACCCGAUGCAAACUGCGAAUACCGGAGAAUGUUAUCACGGGAGACACACGGCGGGUGCUAGCGUCCGUCGUGAAGAGGGAAACAACCCAGACCGCCAGCUAAGGUCCCAAAGUCAUGGUUAAGUGGGAAACGAUGUGGGAAGGCCCAGACAGCCAGGAUGUUGGCUUAGAAGCAGCCAUCAUUUAAAGAAAGCGUAAUAGCUCACUGGUCGAGUCGGCCUGCGCGGAAGAUGUAACGGGGCUAAACCAUGCACCGAAGCUGCGGCAGCGACGCUGAUGCGUUGUUGGGUAGGGGAGCGUUCUGUAAGCCUGUGAAGGUGUGCUGUGAGGCAUGCUGGAGGUAUCAGAAGUGCGAAUGCUGACAUAAGUAACGAUAAAGCGGGUGAAAAGCCCGCUCGCCGGAAGACCAAGGGUUCCUGUCCAACGUUAAUCGGGGCAGGGUGAGUCGACCCCUAAGGCGAGGCCGAAAGGCGUAGUCGAUGGGAAACAGGUUAAUAUUCCUGUACUUGGUGUUACUGCGAAGGGGGGACGGAGAAGGCUAUGUUGGCCGGGCGACGGUUGUCCCGGUUUAAGCGUGUAGGCUGGUUUUCCAGGCAAAUCCGGAAAACUAAGGCUGAGGCGUGAUGACGAGGCACUACGGUGCUGAAGCAACAAAUGCCCUGCUUCCAGGAAAAGCCUCUAAGCAUCAGGUAACAUCAAAUCGUACCCCAAACCGACACAGGUGGUCAGGUAGAGAAUACCAAGGCGCUUGAGAGAACUCGGGUGAAGGAACUAGGCAAAAUGGUGCCGUAACUUCGGGAGAAGGCACGCUGAUAUGUAGGUGAAGUCCCUCGCGGAUGGAGCUGAAAUCAGUCGAAGAUACCAGCUGGCUGCAACUGUUUAUUAAAAACACAGCACUGUGCAAACACGAAAGUGGACGUAUACGGUGUGACGCCUGCCCGGUGCCGGAAGGUUAAUUGAUGGGGUCAGCGCAAGCGAAGCUCUUGAUCGAAGCCCCGGUAAACGGCGGCCGUAACUAUAACGGUCCUAAGGUAGCGAAAUUCCUUGUCGGGUAAGUUCCGACCUGCACGAAUGGCGUAAUGAUGGCCAGGCUGUCUCCACCCGAGACUCAGUGAAAUUGAACUCGCUGUGAAGAUGCAGUGUACCCGCGGCAAGACGGAAAGACCCCGUGAACCUUUACUAUAGCUUGACACUGAACAUUGAGCCUUGAUGUGUAGGAUAGGUGGGAGGCUUUGAAGUGUGGACGCCAGUCUGCAUGGAGCCGACCUUGAAAUACCACCCUUUAAUGUUUGAUGUUCUAACGUUGACCCGUAAUCCGGGUUGCGGACAGUGUCUGGUGGGUAGUUUGACUGGGGCGGUCUCCUCCUAAAGAGUAACGGAGGAGCACGAAGGUUGGCUAAUCCUGGUCGGACAUCAGGAGGUUAGUGCAAUGGCAUAAGCCAGCUUGACUGCGAGCGUGACGGCGCGAGCAGGUGCGAAAGCAGGUCAUAGUGAUCCGGUGGUUCUGAAUGGAAGGGCCAUCGCUCAACGGAUAAAAGGUACUCCGGGGAUAACAGGCUGAUACCGCCCAAGAGUUCAUAUCGACGGCGGUGUUUGGCACCUCGGUGUCGGCUCAUCACAUCCUGGGGCUGAAGUAGGUCCCAAGGGUAUGGCUGUUCGCCAUUUAAAGUGGUACGCGAGCUGGGUUUAGAACGUCGUGAGACAGUUCGGUCCCUAUCUGCCGUGGGCGCUGGAGAACUGAGGGGGGCUGCUCCUAGUACGAGAGGACCGGAGUGGACGCAUCACUGGUGUUCGGGUUGUCAUGCCAAUGGCACUGCCCGGUAGCUAAAUGCGGAAGAGAUAAGUGCUGAAAGCAUCUAAGCACGAAACUUGCCCCGAGAUGAGUUCUCCCUGACUCCUUGAGAGUCCUGAAGGAACGUUGAAGACGACGACGUUGAUAGGCCGGGUGUGUAAGCGCAGCGAUGCGUUGAGCUAACCGGUACUAAUGAACCGUGAGGCUUAACCUU